CACGACGUGAUCUGUCCCUCAUCCCUCAUCCAUCCCUCGCUGCCAGCUCGGGACCAUGCCGGGGCUUGAGUUUCUGGAACCUUCCCUGUUGUGACCCAUGAGCAUCCUCGAUAGUGACUGUCCCCGGGCUACACGGUGGCCAAGGCUAGGCCUGCUUCCCCAGCCGCUUCGGGGCUGUGUUGGCCGCUGCCUCCUCGGUGCAGGGAGACAGGUGAGGGAGCCGUUCCUGCCCAGGCAGCCCCCCGGGGGUAGGAGCCCAGGGACGAACAGGCUGUGUUCAAACCCACCGCCACCUGCCACCCGGGACCUCUCUGGACCUCAGAUUCCUCCCAGCUCCGAGCGUGGAUGAAGGACCUACCACCUGGAGAGUGGAGAACAUUCCGGGCCCCCCGGGGGGCUCGUACUUUCCGCCAUCGACGAGGUAUGGCUAACAUCCCCGUGUCUCAGACACUUGGAUCCCUGCCCAAGGUCGACAGAGGGAGGGGGGUCGCGGAGGCAGACAUUCGGCAAGGGGCACACACCCUGGAGACCCUCCCGCCUGGGAGCGCGGGUGGUGGCCCUGGCUUCAGGAGGGGCCCGGCCGCUUCCACGCCACCCGUCACGACCCGGAGCGGCCCCACUACUCCUUUUCCGAAGAAGCCCAGAUCCAAACCUGCACAUCACCCCACUUCCCUUGAGGAAACAAGCCAGUGAGCCCCACAGAGAACUCAGAACUUCCUGGCCUUCAGCCAAACCCACAGAAGCUUGGCUGCUGACCCGGGCCAUCCUAAUCCUCAGGCAGUUCCUGGCCCUCCCUCCUUGGGACACUUCUCCCUUAGAUAUCCUCGCCGCCUCUCGCCCCCACCCCCACCCCCCUUUCAUGGCCCUGGGGUCUGCACUGUCACAAUCCCCUCUUGCAGACACUGUCCCCACGGCCCAGCCCUUACGGGGCCGGCGUCUCCCAUUUGGAAAGCCCAGAGCCCGGCCCCCCCAGCCUGUAUACAGCAGCCGCCCCAUGAAUGCGCAUCAGAAGGCCGAAGGAAGCAGGGGCAGGGCUGGGCCCGGAGGCCCACAUCCGAGGGACUUUGGAAAGCGGAUCCCCCAGCCCCCGCGGCGACACAGGCAAAAACCAUCCAGCACCCAGGGGAAGCUGGGCCGGCCGGCUGCUGGGAGGGGAGGGCUACGCACACCUCAGCUCCAAGAAACAGACGCGGGCAGGGAGCUGGAGCCGCGCACGUCUGACUCCUCACCCCCAGAACAGCCCCGAGCGUCUGUCCGUCGGUAAAAGGCCGGCCGAGCACCACGCGGAAUCCCGCAGAGAAACAUCGCUCGGCAACGAAGAGAACAAACACGGACACACGUGGCAACCUGGACAAACAUCAGGACGGAAGGUCGCGCAAAGGCAGCCAGACACACAGGGGCAGGUGGCUCCGUGAGGCUCCGGGGGCCGGCGCGCCUCCCCUAGGAAACGCCCAGAAGCACGGAGAGAGAGCAGGCCCGGAACAGGCCGCCAGCACCGGCCACGGGGGCCGAGACGUGGAAACCACCCAGGCGAGCGUCGCGGAGGCACGGGCUCACAGCCCACGCCACGCGCACACACAGCCGUCAGGGAACGAAACCCCGACGCGCGCUGCGACACGCGUGGUCCCCGGGGACGUUACGCUCCGCCCGCGAAGCCCAUCACAGACCGCAGACGGGCAGGUCCCGAAGGAUGCCACCCCCGGAGACCCUGCACUGGUCGGAUUCCGACUCGCGGGCCGAUGGGGACAGAGUUCGCGUUUGGGGUGACGGAAAAGGCCUGGAGGCGGGCGGUGGCGAGGGUCGCGCCACAGUGAAGACGUGCUUCACGCUGCUGAACUGACCGCGUAAACCCAGAUGAGACGCUACGUUUCGUUUCGGCUGUUUUGCCACCAAGUCAAAAGGAGGAGAGACCCUAGCCUGGAGUCAAGGAAGGUCAUCAGUGGCCACCUGGCUGGGGUGGAGAGAGACUGGGUAGGUGCACCUGGGAAGGAACUUUCUGGAGAGAGGGCCACGUGCUGCACGAGGACCAGGGCGGCGGGAGCACAGACAGAUGCCUGUGUCAGAGGCCAAUGACCACAACUCUCGAGAUGCCUGUAGUUUACCGGACGCAAACCAUAUCCGAUAAAGUUGAUUCUGAAAGUAAGAACAAAACAAACUUUGAA